GACGAACGCUGGCGGCGUGCUUAACACAUGCAAGUCGAACGCGAAAGUUCCCUUCGGGGAAUAAGUAGAGUGGCGCACGGGUGAGUAACACGUAGGUAAUCUACCUUCGGGUGGGGAAUAACCCAGGGAAACUUGGGCUAACACCGCAUGAUGCAGCGGCACCACAUGGUGACAGUUGUUAAAAGCGGGGGUAUUUUCGGACCUCGCGCCUGAAGAGGNGCCUGCGGCGGAUUAGCUAGUUGGUGAGGUAACGGCU
rnacentral:rRNA from 1 species